rnacentral:lncRNA from 1 species
CUUUCUCUCGUGCUGCCCCCACUAAAGGUACUCGUGAUGACCCUCUUCGAAGCUUUGAGUUCCUCUCAAUCAGGAAAUAACUCAAUGGUUCUGUAAAAAGUUUAUAUCGUCCAAUGGACAGAUGCCAGCCAUCUUUUAAGGAAAUAUUUGCAUUCUCUUAUUCUUUUAAAUGGGAAUGCGUUUUACACCAGAAUUAAACCUCGUCUGGCUGUCUUCACAACAGUAUUACUUCGUAUUAUGAAUUGUUUCUGUUGUAACGCAUUGCAUACUCAUACACAGAAUUAAUGAGUAAUGUGUUGGAAUUUUUCUGUUUUUUGAGACAAUGAUAGUUGUUAUUCAUGUUUUGCUGUAUGGAUCCUUGCCUUGUAUCUUUGUCGAGUUUUCCUUACUGGGUACGAAUUGUAUUUGAUGUUGCAAUGAAGAGUAGAUGAGAAGAAUGAUUGGUGUUACUUUUUGGUAAAUGGUAAUUCAAUCACUUUCCGAACGUGCACUUAUUUGAGUUCCUUUUAUUGUAAUUUCAUAAUAACGUUUAACGUCUAGAAUUUAUG